UGAGGAAUAUUGGACAAUGGAGGGAACUCUGAUCCAGCCAUGCCGCGUGCAGGAAGACUGCCCUAUGGGUUGUAAACUGCUUUUAUACAGGAAGAAACACUCUCUCGUGAGGGAGCUUGACGGUACUGUAAGAAUAAGCAUCGGCUAACUCCGUGCCAGCAGCCGCGGUAAUACGGAGGAUGCAAGCGUUAUCCGGAAUCAUUGGGUUUAAAGGGUCCGUAGGCGGAUUAAUAAGUCAGAGGUGAAAGCCAGCAGCUCAACUGUUGAACUGCCUUUGAUACUGUUAGUCUUGAGUUAUUGUGAAGUGGUUAGAAUAUGUAGUGUAGCGGUGAAAUGCAUAGAUAUUACAUAGAAUACCAAUUGCGAAGGCAGAUCACUAACAAUAUACUGACGCUGAUGGACGAAAGCGUGGGGAGCGAACA
rnacentral:rRNA from 1 species